rnacentral:rRNA from 1 species
CGGUGGAGUAUGUGGUUUAAUUCGAUGCAACGCGAAGAACCUUACCUGGUCUUGACAUCCCGGAGACCCUUAGGAAACUAGGGGUGCUUCCAUCUGGAAGAAUCUGGAGACAGGUGCUGCAUGGCUGUCGUCAGCUCGUGUCGUGAGAUGUUGGGUUAAGUCCCGCAACGAGCGCAACCCUUGCCUUUAGUUGCCAGCAGUUCGGCUGGGCACUCUAAAGGGACUGCCGGUGUUAAACCGGAGGAAGGUGGGGAUGACGUCAAGUCCUCAUGGCCUUUAUGACCAGGGCUACACACGUACUACAAUGGCCGAUACAAGGGGCAGCGACACUGCGAGGUGAAGCCAAUCCCGUAAAAUCGGUCUCAGUCCGGAUUGGAGUCUGCAACUCGACUCCAUGAAGUUGGAAUCGCUAGUAAUCGUGGAUCAGCAUGCCACGGUGAAUACGUUCCCGGGCCUU